rnacentral:rRNA from 1 species
UACGUAGGUGGCGAGCGUUGUCCGGAAUUACUGGGUGUAAAGGGAGCGUAGGCGGGAGUGCAAGUUGAAUGUUAAAUCUAUCGGCUCAACCGAUAGCCGCGUUCAAAACUGCAUUUCUUGAGUGAAGUAGAGGUUGGCGGAAUUCCUAGUGUAGCGGUGAAAUGCGUAGAUAUCUGGAGGAACACCGGUGGCGAAAGCGGCUUUCUGGCCAUAACUGACGCUGAGGCUCGAAAGCGUUGGGAGCGAACGGGAUUAGAUACCCCGGUAGUCCCUGA